GAACGCAUCUUGCACCCUUUGGUAUUCCAAAGGGUACGCCUGUUUCAGUAUCAUUAUAACCUUUCUCCUCCAAGGCUUUUUGGCCAAGGAGGGGAAAGAGCAUAACCGGUGGCCCAGCGGUCUCCCAUCAGGGGGAUUGUCUCGGCUGGAAUGACUGUUGCAAUGGUGGGCCAAAUGGUCUCCCGCACUUGAUAAAUGUAACUUUUAUAAAGAGCGGGGCCGGUCUGCCGAAAGUUGUAACUAAACCCUUUACCUUUGAUCUGAAAUCAGGCGGGAUUACCCGCUGAACUUAAG
rnacentral:misc_RNA from 1 species